AUUGAACGCUGGCGGCAUGCUUUACACAUGCAAGUCGAACGGUAACAGGCCUUCGGGUGCUGACGAGUGGCGAACGGGUGAGUAAUGCAUCGGAACGUACCCAGAGGUGGGGGAUAACGCAGCGAAAGCUGUGCUAAUACCGCAUGUGAUCUGAGGAUGAAAGCGGGGGACCGAGCAGCAAUGUUUGGCCUCGCGCCUUUGGAGCGGCCGAUGUCGGAUUAGCUAGUUGGUGGGGUAAAGGCCUACCAAGGCGACGAUCCGUAGCUGGUCUGAGAGGACGACAAGCCACACUGGGACUGAGACACGGCCCAGACUACUACGGGAGGCAGCAGUGGGGAAUUUUGGACAAUGGGCGCAAGCCUGAUCCAGCAAUGCCGCGUGCGGGAAGAAGGCCUUCGGGUUGUAAACCGCUUUUGGCAGGAACGAAACGGUGUCCGCUAAUACCGGGCGCUAAUGACGGUACCUGCAGAAUAAGCACCGGCUAACUACGUG
rnacentral:rRNA from 1 species